rnacentral:rRNA from 1 species
AUGCUUCUCCUAAAGACUAAGCCAUGCAUGCCUCCGAAUAAGAACGAAGCAAUUCUCUCUGAAUCUGCGAACGGCUCCGCAAACCAGUUGUAAACAAUGGUGAGUACGCCCGUCUCUCUAACCGGCUUUGUCCCGGCAAAAGGACGGGUGAUAGGGAUACCCCUGGUAAUUCUGAGGCUAAUACGUUUGACCGUACAAACCUGGCCAACCUUCCGGGGCGGCCGGGGACUGUGCGUGUCUCACUUGCGGCAGGUCUUACCAGGAACAGGGCGCACAGUCAAACCGUGGCAAAAAAAGGGUCCGGCCAAAAGCCGGUCCUCACGGGUCUCACACUGUGCUUCUGACCUAUCAGCUCGUUGUCCGCGUAACGGACGGCCACAGGCUACAACGGGUACAGAGGAUUAGGGUUUGAUCCUGGAGAGUGGGCCUGAGAGAUUGCUCACACUUCUAAGGAAGGCAGCAGGCGCGUAACGUUCCCAUUGGGCAAAGCCCGAGGGCGUUAGGGGAAAUAUGAAUGCCUGUCCUAUGAUGGGCAAUUCAAA